CAGAGGCUGCUUGGCUGUGUCACACCCUUCUGUAAAAAUCAGCUAUUAGAAUAAUUGUAUUUAUUUCUUUCUGAUGCGCCACUUUCAGCCGGAACUGCUAUAAAAGUGCACAUGGGUCCGUUUGUGAACAAGACCCAGAUCUGAGGGGGUUUUCGUUCCCAUGGCAGGAACUACUCAACCUCAACUCCAUACAGGUUAGAUGGAAGCAGGAAAGGAACUUUUUAGCGUUCCCUGUGAAGAUCCGACUAUUUUAGCAAACGUGCAGCAACAGCAUCAGGAACAAGGCGGCGUUUGCAGGUACAAACCCCGAAUCUUCACUUCCUCCUGUAGAUGAUGAGACACUCAAAUGAAGGAAUCUGAGUGGUGGCUGGUUCAUUUCUGCCUGAGCUCAGUGUUCCCGACACCAGCAGACAAAGAAAGCCAAGCAAAACUGCACCGGGGACCACGGCCCCGAUGCUAAACGCCAAGAAACCCAACUAGCCCUAACCAGUCCUGGUGGUCACAGGACAGCACAUCUGGAGUUAAGCACUAGGAGCCAGGGAAGAAGUGGAUGUUGCCACUGAAAUCGAAACCUUCUCUGAGACGUUUGCACCGUUAGUUGGUGAAGACGUUGCUCUUUUUUAUGCAUCAAAAAUAUUUCCAACAGAUUUCCAUAGUUCUGAUGCUUCCCCUCAUAAAAAGCUUUAACAAAGAGGCCGUAACUUACAGACGGCGUUCUUGUGGCUGGAGUCUUUGCUGGGCAUCAUCUUCACCCCUCUGGACUUCAGCUCUAUCGUUUUCUUCACUGUGGGGAACAAGACAGAGCCCAGUGGCCACCAGCAGGAGGACCCCCCCACCCAUGUGAGCCUGGGAAUGUCUGGCAGGUUUAAGCUGCAGAAGAGUUUCACCUUAAUGAACUGCGCUCCUCCUCCUUGACCAUGAACUGACAUAAAAACACAACAAGGCCAUGGAAGCAUCAAGCAAAAUUCUCCUACAGACCUCUGCCUAAUGGGUUGCAAGCUCUCCUCAACCUUUUAUUGGAAAGGAUAAAUGGUAUGUAGAAAUCAUUUCUAAAAUAAUUGCCAAAAAGUAAAUUGUUGUCCACUAAUAAUAAAAAUCCAACUCAAAAGUGUAACCAAGGCCCCCACUCAGUCAUUGAAACUCUAAAUUGUCUAAUUAGGGGUGAAUUUGAGUUUUUAAUCUCAGUUUGAUCUCUGGUAAAGUGCAUCAUAGCCAUCGAGUUUGGUUAACAAAGUGACGCAGGGCCGUGGACGGUUUCAGUGUCUGUGUGACAGAGUGAUGAUGUCACUUCCUGAGGGAAGGCUUGCAAGGACUGAGGAGGUGUCAGAAGUGCAGCAGACCCGAACCGUCAGCGGCAGCGGGUGCCGUGUAAUCACAAUAUGUCCAAGUCUAUUGAUUUGUUUUUAGAAGGACACAUUAUCAAUCAUUACUGUAAACUGAAUGUGGUUUGUGUUCAUUAAGGGUGCGGCGCUGUGCUGAGAACUGUGGGUGAUUCACAUUAGAGAUGAACCGACUGAUACUAUGUGGGAACCCUUUUACAGUCUGUGUAUGAACAAUAAUUAAACAUACUCUGGAAUUUUAUGUCUUGUGGAAGUUAAUGUAUAAUAGAGGCAUUUCAGGAUUAAUCACGGCUAAAAUCUGCCUCAUUAGUUUGAUGUCUGACACACACAGGAAGAGAAGAUAGAGAAGGUUUAUCAUUAGGACCCAUCCCUGUUUCAGGCAUCACAAAGCCACUCCUCAUUAAAAUCACUGACUAUCACAGCGAUGAUGAAUUACAGCCAAUUUGUCAGUUUGCAGCAUCGGAAACCGGGUUAAAAUCAAUGUAGCCCGCAAUAUGGAGCAAAAUAUGAUUUUAAUUGCAC
rnacentral:lncRNA from 1 species